rnacentral:rRNA from 1 species
ACGGAGGAUGCGAGCGUUAUCCGGGAUUUAUUGGGUUUAAAAGGGUGCGUAGGCGGAAUAAUAAGUCAGUGGUGAAACCCUGCAGCUUAACUGUAGACUUGCCAUUGAUACUGUUUUUCUUGAGUAUGGUCAAGGCAGGCGGAAUGUGUAAUGUAGCGGUGAAAUGCUUAGAUAUUACACAGAACACCGAUAGCGAAGGCAGCUUGCUGGGCCGUUACUGACGCUGAUGCACGAAAGCGUGGGGAUCGAACAGGAUUAGAUACCCUGGUAGUCCACGCCGUAAACGAUGAUCACUAGCUGUUGGCGAUACACCGAUCAGCGGCAAAGCAAAAGCAUUAAGUGAUCCACCUGGGGAGUACGGCCGCAAGGCUGAAACUCAAAGGAAUUGACGGGGGCCCGCACAAGCGGAGGAACAUGUGGUUUAAUUCGAUGAUACGCGAGGAACCUUACCUGGGCUUAAAUGUAGAGUGCAUUGAGAGGAAACUUUCAUUUUCUUCGGAACUCUUUACAAGGUGCUGCAUGGUUGUCGUCAGCUCGUGCCGUGAGGUGUCGGGUUAAGUCCCAUAACGAGCGCAACCCUUAUCGUUAGUUGCCAGCGGGUAAUGCCGGGAACUCUAGCGAAACUGCCGGUGUAAACCGAGAGGAAGGUGGGGAUGACGUCAAAUCAGCACGGCCCUUAUGUCCAGGGCUACACACGUGUUACAAUGGCCGGUACAGAGGGCAGCUACCUGGAGACAGGAUGCGAAUCUCGAAAGCCGGUCUCAGUUCGGAUCGGAGUCUGCAACCCGACUCCGUGAAGCUGGAUUCGCUAGUAAUCGCGCAUCAGCCAUGGCGCGGUGAAUACGUUCCCGGGCCUUGUACACACCGCCCGU